CACUGACAUGCUUAUAUAAACAAAUGAAUCAAACUUAAGUCAUCAGGCUCGCAGAGCAAAAUAUCAGAAGCAUUUUCCAG